CAGUCGAGCGAACAGACGAGGAGCUUGCUCCUCUGACGUUAGCGGCGGACGGGUGAGUAACACGUGGGUAACCUACCUAUAAGACUGGGAUAACUCCGGGAAACCGGGGCUAAUACCGGAUAACACAUGAAACCGCAUGGUUUCAUGAUGAAAGACGGUUUUGCUGUCACUUAUAGAUGGACCCGCGGCGUAUUAGCUAGUUGGUAAGGUAACGGCUUACCAAGGCAACGAUACGUAGCCGACCUGAGAGGGUGAUCGGCCACACUGGAACUGAGACACGGUCCAGACUCCUACGGGAGGCAGCAGUAGGGAAUCUUCCGCAAUGGGCGAAAGCCUGACGGAGCAACGCCGCGUGAGUGAUGAAGGUCUUCGGAUCGUAAAACUCUGUUAUUAGGGAAGAACAAGGAUGUAAGUAACUAUGCAUCCCUUGACGGUACCUAAUCAGAAAGCCACGGCUAACUACGUGCCAGCAGCCGCGGUAAUACGUAGGUGGCAAGCGUUAUCCGGAAUUAUUGGGCGUAAAGCGCGCGUAGGCGGUUUUUUAAGUCUGAUGUGAAAGCCCACGGCUCAACCGUGGAGGGUCAUUGGAAACUGGAAAACUUGAGUGCAGAAGAGGAAAGUGGAAUUCCAUGUGUAGCGGUGAAAUGCGCAGAGAUAUGGAGGAACACCAGUGGCGAAUGCGACUUUCUGGUCUGCAACUGACGCUGAUGUGCGUAAGCGUGGGGAUCAACAGGAUUAGAUACCCGUGCUAGUCCACGCCGUCAACGAUGA
rnacentral:rRNA from 1 species